rnacentral:lncRNA from 1 species
AAAAGAGUGCUUCCACAUUAAAUCAAGAAAGACACACACACAAGUGAACUGGAAGAGUAUCACACCCUCUUAGGCCUCAAUGUCCACAACAUCACUGGCCACAGCUUUUAGUUUCAGGAGGUGAGAUAUGAAAACAAACCUAAUGGGCAAAGCAGAUCUAAACAGGGUAAGACCUGGAGCCCCGGCCCCAUGCAGCCUGCAGAAGGUGAGUGAGGUCGGCCUCCCCUCAUUCCACAGUUGCCUCUUUCCAGAGACCCUGGGUGUCUGGAGGGAUAUAGAGUGAUGUGGCCAGGCGCUGUGCCCGGGGAAAUGACAUUAAAAUUAGUAAUAGUAGGGGAAAAAAAAGAAAUACUUUCCUUUACAGACAACAGAAUGCAACUUGAGGCAAACCAUUCUAUACAUACAGUCUCAGAAACGAUUCCAGAUUUCCGACCUGCGUGUUUUGUUUCUUUGUUUGUUUAUGUCAAGACUUUACAAUUUGCCAUGAAUCAAAAACACACAUGAGCUCAGGGGAUAGAAAGAAAUAUUCAGAAAGAGUCUGAGUGGAAUUUGGAUUAGGAUGGGUGUUUUUUGGCUCCGAGUCCUGUGUCCAAGUGACAGCUGCUGUGCCAUAAUAAUAGAUCAGCUUACAAUACGUAGAUAUAGACAGGCAGACAAUAGACAAUCUGUGUAUGAAACAGGCUGCCUAAAAAUGCUGAUUAUCUAAAAGCUUGUGAGCCUAGGUCAUCAAAGCCAUCUCACCAGGUGAGUGUUCACUCUUCCCUCAGCGGGCCCUCCCAGAAGUCAUGUUAAGCAGUUUCUGACGGUAUUCAUAUUUUAAUCCUCAGAAGCCCUGGAGGCUCUCACCUCCCACUUCAGGCUGCCCAAAGUCACAGAGCCUGUGACUCCAGGACUCAUCUUUCUACAAACGCUUUGGUUGGCCAGCGCUUCCUUUUACCGUCAGCCGCCCCUGCCCGGGACACUUGCAGAUCAGGGGACUUUGUGGGUCUCAUUGAGGCUGUAUUUGCGGAUUCAAUUACGCAUUUUUAAUUCCGCAAAUAUUUGCCACUGCUGCCUGACCUGGAGCCUGUGUGGCCAGAUCCUUUGAUCGAAAGCCGUCUGCCUGUGGAUCAGACCCUGUGAGAAGAAAAUGACAGGAGCAGAAGGUCAAAGGGAAGCAUCGAGAGAAAGAGGAUGAAUUGACACCUGUGGCUAAUUGAAGUGAAAUCAGAUCACAGAGGCCAUGAGACCCACGUCCAGAGGGCCCUAGGAGGGAGCUGUGGGCUCAGCUGGUUGAUUUACUCUGGCUUGGGUCGCUGCUACUGCUUUGAGGACAAUAAGCUUGGCCAUCACCAGACACCAGAGGAUGCUGAAGGGACAGCCGGCUAGACUAUUUCAUGGACUCUCUGAGCAUGUCCUAUUGCAGUCCAGGUACAAACUUUUCCUCCAGAAAUAGACAGAGGGAUGCUGCUUCCCAAUUUCAGCAAAGGCAGUGGAAAGAUCCCGGUCAAAAGUAGAAACUCUGGGUCCAGGCCUUCCAGCUGACACUCACUCUGAUAUGGUUUGGCUGUGUUCCCACCCAAAUCUCAACUUGAAUUGUAUCUCUCAGAAUUCCCACGAGUUGUAGGAGGGAUCCAGGUGGAGGUAAUUGAAUCAUGGGGUGGGUCUUUCCCAUGCUAUUCUCGUGAUAGUGAAUAAGU